ACAGGGCUCUGACCUAUGAAUUGACAGCCAGUGCUCUCGUGUCCCCUCUGGCUGCCAAUUCCAUAGGUCACAGGUAUGU
rnacentral:pre_miRNA from 1 species